GUGAACGCUGGCGGUAGGCCUAACACAUGCAAGUCGAACGGCAGCACAGUAAGAGCUUGCUCUUACGGGUGGCGAGUGGCGGACGGGUGAGGAAUACAUCGGAAUCUACUUUUUCGUGGGGGAUAACGUAGGGAAACUUACGCUAAUACCGCAUACGACCUACGGGUGAAGGCAGGGGAUCUUCGGACCUUGCGCGAUUGAAUGAGCCGAUGUCGGAUUAGCUAGUUGGCGGGGUAAAGGCCCACCAAGGCGACGAUCCGUAGCUGGUCUGAGGGGAUGAUCAGCCACACUGGAACUGAGACACGGUCCAGACUCCUACGGGAGGCAGCAGUGGGGAAUAUUGGACAAUGGGCGCAAGCCUGAUCCAGCCAUACCGCGUGGGUGAAGAAGGCCUUCGGGUUGUAAAGCCCUUUUGUUGGGAAAGAAAAGCAGCAGGUUAAUACCCCGCUGUUCUGACGGUACCCAAAGAAUAAGCACCGGCUAACUUCGUG
rnacentral:rRNA from 1 species